AGAAAAACCGAAAUGAACUUUU
rnacentral:miRNA from 1 species